AGACCUUGGCAGAGAGCGCCCUGGGAAAUGCGGAUAUAGAAGGUCAGGAGAACAUCUCUCCUGGUUAUACAGCAUUCCAGGACUCCUCAUCUGUUUUUAAGAGGGAAAUCUGAGUUUUCAAGGAAAGCCGAAUACAGUUGCCAAGUUGCCAGUCAAAGAAACAAUGUCAACACCUGCUCAUAGAGAUGGAAUUCCUAACCCGGAAUAUUGCCCUUGAAUUACAACGAGAAAAAGCACCUCUUCAAGUGAGAUGGCAGACCACCUCAGGAUGGAAAUGUAUUUCUUCAUCCCCCUCUCUACUUCCCUGUGACCUCCUGCAAAUAAGGGAGAGACAAAGAGAAGAGCAGAAGAACAGAAGAAUGGAGUGGCAAAGAGAAGAGAAGGAGUGACUGAACAUUGACAAGACUUUGGUUGGGGAUGGUCAGAGAGGAGAUUAGCUGCUAGACGGCCACACUGCGGAGAAAGAUCAUUUUCCCACUCCAUCCCCCUUCCAGCUCCCCAUCCAUCUCACCAAGAGCCAGCUCCACCACUCAAUAAAACCUUACAUUCAUCUUUCAA
rnacentral:lncRNA from 1 species